AUGGUUGCCAUGGAGUUCUGCGGACAUUGCUGCAUUCUUCGUAACACUACAUCUUAUUUAUGUGAUGCUGUAUAUUUCAACUGUUGUAUUGAUUGUGGAAAGAAUAACGAAGAAAAAGAGUGUGAAAAGAACCUAAAGAACAACACAGAUACAAGCAUACCCUUGAUGAUUACUAUUGGAGAAGUAUUGUUCUGGUGGCUUUGA